rnacentral:rRNA from 1 species
AAUGAACGUUGGCGGCAUGGAUUAGGCAUGCAAGUCGAGCGAGAAGUGUAGCGAUACACGGAAAGCGGCGGAAGGGAGAGUAAUACGUGGGAAUCUGCCCUUAGACCUGGGAUAGCAGCGGGAAACUGCUGGUAAUACCAGAUAAUGUCUAUGGACCAAAGGUGUGAUUCCGUCUAGGGAUGAGCCCACGUCCUAUUAGCUAGUUGGUAGGGUAAUGGCCCACCAAGGCGAUGGUGGGUAGCGGGUGUGAGGGCAUGACCCGCCUCACUGGGACUGAGACACUGCCCAGACACCUACGGGUGGCUGCAGUCGAGAAUCUUCGGCAAUGGGCGCAAGCCUGACCGAGCGAUGCCGCGUGCGGGAUGAAGGCCUUCGGGUUGUAAACCGCUGUCGAGGGGGAGCAACUUCCACAGAGUUAUCUUUAUGGAUUGAGUGAUCCCUGGAGGAAGGACGGGCUAAGUUCGUGCCAGCCGCCGCGGUAAGAC